rnacentral:rRNA from 1 species
GAUGAACGCUGGCGGCGUGCCUAAUACAUGCAAGUAGAACGCUGAAGGAGGAGCUUGCUCUUCUGGAUGAGUUGCGAACGGGUGAGUAACGCGUAGGUAACCUGCCUGGUAGCGGGGGAUAACUAUUGGAAACGAUAGCUAAUACCGCAUGACAACAGUUAUUGCAUGAUAACUGUUUAAAAGGGGCAACUGCUCCACUACCAGAUGGACCUGCGUUGUAUUAGCUAGUUGGUGAGGUAACGGCUCACCAAGGCGACGAUACAUAGCCGACCUGGGAGGGGGAUCGGCCACACUGGGACUGAGACACGGCCCAGACUCCUACGGGAGGCAGCAGGAGGGAAUCGUCGGCAAUGGACGGAAGUCUGACCGAGAAACGCCGCGUGAGUGAAGAAGGUUUUCGGAUCGUAAAGCUCUGUUGUAAGAGAAGAACGAGUGUGAGAGUGGAAAGUUCACACUGUGACGGUAUCUUACCAGAAAGGGACGGCUAACUACGUG